rnacentral:rRNA from 1 species
AUUGAACGCUGGCGGCAGGCUUAACACAUGCAAGUCGAGCGGUAGCACAAGAGAGCUUGCUCUCUGGGUGACGAGCGGCGGACGGGUGAGUAAUGUCUGGGAAACUGCCUGAUGGAGGGGGAUAACUACUGGAAACGGUAGCUAAGACCGCAUAACGUCGCAAGACCAAAGAGGGGGACCUUCGUGCCUCUUGCCAUCAGGUGUGCCCAGAUGGGGUUGGCUAGUAGGUGGGGGAAUGGCUCGCCUAGGCGACGAUCCCUAGCUGGUCUGAGGGACAGACCAUACACACUGGAACUGAGACACGGUCCAGACUCGUACGGGAGGAAGCAGUGGAGAAUAUUGCAAAACGGGCGUAAGCAUGAUGCAGCAAUGCCGCGUGUGUGAAUAAGGCCUUCGGGUUGUAAAGCACUUUCAGCGAGGAGGAAGGUGGUGAACUUAAUACGUUCAUCAAUAGACGUUCCUCGCAGAAGAAGCACCGGAUCACUCCG